AUUGACAGUAGCGCUGGCAAUUAAUACAGUUACGUAGCAAGAAGAUAUUAUGACUAAAUGCAUGUGCCCACCAGUACAAAGGCAAUUUUAUGAAAGCAACAGUAUCGGGAGCUAUUAGUACAUGGCUUCGCAGCCAUUCAAAAAAGAGGGCUGCAGACAACGGAAUACCAACGUGAUCGACAACUGCGGCGACGAU